rnacentral:sRNA from 12 species
CGUUGCGGAUUUACUCCCCGCAACGGGUGAGGUCGGCACAGCAUACACCGACAGGGCGGGAACG